rnacentral:rRNA from 1 species
UACGUAGGGUGCAAGCGUUAAUCGGAAUUACUGGGCGUAAAGCGUGCGCAGGCGGUUAUGCAAGACAGAUGUGAAAUCCCCGGGCUUAACCUGGGAACCGCAUUUGUGACUGCAUAGCUGGAGUACUGGCAGAGGGGGAUGGAAUUCCGCGUGUAGCAGUGAAAUGCGUAGAUAUGCGGAGGAACACCGAUGGCGAAGGCAGCCCCCUGGGUCAAGAUUGACGCUCAUGCACGAAAGCGUGGGGAGCAAACAGG